UACGUAGGGUCCGAGCGUUGUCCGGAAUUACUGGGCGUAAAGAGCUCGUAGGUGGUUUGUCGCGUUGUUCGUGAAAACUCACAGCUUAACUGUGGGCGUGCGGGCGAUACGGGCAGACUAGAGUACUGCAGGGGAGACUGGAAUUCCUGGUGUAGCGGUGGAAUGCGCAGAUAUCAGGAGGAACACCGGUGGCGAAGGCAGUUCUCUGGGCAUGAUCUGACGCUGAGGGGCGAAAGUGUGGGGAGCGAACAGG
rnacentral:rRNA from 1 species